GUGAGGAAUAUUGGUCAAUGGGCGGGAGCCUGAACCAGCCAAGUCGCGUGAAGGAAGAAGGAUCUAUGGUUCGUAAACUUCUUUUGCAGGGGAAUAAAGUGCAGGACGUGUCCUGUUUUGUAUGUACCCUGAGAAUAAGGAUCGGCUAACUACGUGCCAGCAGCCGCGGUAAUACGGAGGAUGCGAGCGUUAUCCGGAUUCAUUGGGUUUAAAGGGUGCGUAGGCGGACUAUUAAGUCAGUGGUGAAAUCCUGCAGCUUAACUGCAGAACUGCCAUUGAUACUGAUAGCCUUGAGUUUGGUUAAGGUAGGCGGAAUGUGUAAUGUAGCGGUGAAAUGCUUAGAUAUUACACAGAACACCAAUUGCGUAGGCAGCUUACUGAGCCGACACUGACGCUGAGGCACGAAAGCGUGGGGAUCGAACAGGAUUAGAAACCCGGGUAGUCC
rnacentral:rRNA from 1 species